AACUCCCACGUACCUGUCACCGUCAUCUGCCUUGAACAAUUAUCCACACGCAUCCUGUCUGCCUCCUCCCCCAACCCUCCCCUUCCUCAAAUUAUUAUUGAAAUUAGUUUAUUCUUCAUCAUUUUUAAUUUUUAAUCUUCCCUGUUGCACUUUUUGGGUCCUAAAGAUACAUUUCUCAAGAGAGCCCUGAGUAGUUCUGACAGAAAUGUUGGAUUGACCAAACAAUGUGUGCUUCAUUCAUUUCAGACACUUAGUGAGUCUGAGGCACAGCACAGGGUUGAAGACAGUAGCAGAACAGGGCUCCUGACCUCAAGGGCCUAUCAUCUAGUUCUGGGGAGAGGACGAGGGCACUAACAAGUCCUCGAGUAACAGCAAAAGGCUUUGAGCUCAGCUGACAGAAAUUAAACAGCCCCGCUCUCCAAUGCAGAUGCGAACCUUAAGAAUGAAAUCACAGCAGCAGUGAACUAAACUGAGAAAAAACACCUUCCGGCAACCUUGCACAUGACAUUUGUCACUGCAAACAGGCUUGUCAUGCACAAAUCACCUGCAACAACAAAGAGGAUUAUGGAUGGGUUGGUGGCCGUCACACGGGAUCUUUUUGUGCUGAGGAGUUUAAAUCAGGGCUCUCCCAUUCAAACCGCGAGAGGACAAGAGCAGCUGUCUUUCCAGGGGGCGCAGACAAAGCACCACGUCUCUGCGGCCACACACAAGUGGAAGCAGGAAUAAAAAUCCCAACAAGUGGAAAAACGGGCACCCAACUCAACGUCUCCGCUUGUCUCUUUCAGCGUUUGGAGGAAGAAUAAGCUCAACACAUCUGCUGCAUUUCGGGCGCGUCUUAUUUAUUUUCUAAGGUGCUUUGCUUAAAAGAGCCAAAGCUCUCAAG
rnacentral:lncRNA from 12 species